rnacentral:rRNA from 1 species
AAUUCCAACGAAUAACUUCCAGGGAUUUAUAAGCCGAUGACGUCAUAACAUCCCUGACCCUUUAAAUAGCUUAACUUUCAUCAAGCAAGAGCCUACGACCAUACCAUGCUGAAUAUACCGGUUCUCGUCCGAUCACCGAAGUCAAGCAGCAUAGGGCUCGGUUAGUACUUGGAUGGGAGACCGCCUGGGAAUACCGGGUGUUGUAGGCUUUUUUUUCUCCCCCCCCCCCCUCUUUGCUUCAUGAAAUGCCUCUUGG